GACGAACGCUGGCGGCGUGCUUAACACAUGCAAGUCGAACGGAAAGGCUCCAGCUUGCUGGAGUACUCGAGUGGCGAACAGGUGAGUAACACGUGGGUAAUCUGCCCUGCACUCUGGGAUAAGCCUGGGAAACUGGGUCUAAUACUGGAUAUGACCUUUCUCCUUAUGGGGUUUGGUGGAAAGUUUUUCGGUGUAGGAUGAGCCCGCGGCCUAUCAGCUUGUUGGUGGGGUGAUGGCCUACCAAGGCGACGACGGGUAGCCGGCCUGAGAGGGUGAUCGGCCACAUUGGGACUGAGAUACGGCCCAGACUCCUACGGGAGGCAGCAGUGGGGAAUAUUGCACAAUGGGCGGAAGCCUGAUGCAGCGACGCCGCGUGAGGGAUGACGGCCUUCGGGUUGUAAACCUCUUUCAGCAGGGACGAAGCGUAAGUGACGGUACCUGCAGAAGAAGCACCGGCUAACUAUGUG
rnacentral:rRNA from 1 species